rnacentral:misc_RNA from 1 species
ACCAAUUCAUCGAAUUUGCUUGUUGGUCUAAUCUUAAUGAAAAUAGGUCAGAAUAUUCGUCUCCAUGAAAUCACUAGGUAAAACUAUGUUUACACUGUUACGGCAAAACACAUGCCAGAUGACUCUCCUGCUAACGAUAUGUGCAUUGAUUAUAAAUUUUAUGUAAAUUUCGAUAAUAUAUGUAGUAUCAUUUUCGAUUCAAAAUAAGUUAUUUUACGAAAAAAAUAAAAGAAAGAUAUUCGUUUUACUUUAUUUAUCAGUCGGCUAUUUUAAGUAUCACAUAGCCUCUCCGGACAUUAAACUACUUUUAUAUACUGAAACGGAUUUGUUAUACAGAAACUUAUUGAAGACAUCUGAAGGGGAAAGAAAAUGUUAUCACUCAAAGUGGCGAUAGUUUCAUUUGCCUUUGUUAUUGUUCUAACCAUGGCAGACUCGGCAGCAGCUCCUGAGUGUGCCCCAGACCAAUGCCUUGUCCCAGACAAUUGCAAGAAUGGCCUGUUUACACCACCUGGACAAUGUUGUCCGAAGUGUAAAGGAGAAGUAAAAUGCCAGAAAGAACACAAGAACGAGUUUGGGAUCUGUAUUUCCAACUGCGAAGUUAACAGUGACUGCGAAACAGGCAAGAUAUGCUGCAAGAAUCCGUGUGGAGGCAAAGUUUGUGAAGAACCUGUGAAUGGAGGGAACAAUUAGAAUUACAGAAAAGAGUGAAAAGAAGUAGAUGAUGAUUCCUUGUGUUAUGUCUUUGUCUAAACAUCAAAAGUUCAAACUAUAUUACUCUUAUUUACAAUUGCUAAACAAACCCGUUUUAUUUGCCAUUUACAAUGCAAGUAUUCAAACAGACAAAACAAUAAGUGUUCGUUCCGAACUUGGUCGGUCCUUCUAGAUUGAUUAAUAUUUGUUAUGAAUGAACAAAAUAAGUUAAGACAAUAAAGGAAAUAAAAUGA